CUCAUCUUCUCCCCCAAAACCAACCGUCCACUUUCCCUCUCCCAAAGCUCACUCUCAAACCUCCAUUAGAGCUCUUAGCUCAAGCUUUAUACACUCUAAAUUAACCAUAAGUUCCCCUAAAAUUCUUCACUAAACCUCAUCCUUGCAUCUUGAAGAGUAUAGAGGAGCAAGAAAAAGAAAGAAAAUUGGAGAAAAGGGGAGUUAGA
rnacentral:misc_RNA from 1 species